GAUUAUUUAGCAUUCUAGGUUAUUUUAUUUGGUUCUAUUAAUGCUUUUAUUUUACGCGUAUAGGACAUGCAACUAUGAUGUAUGUGUUAUCAUUUCAUAUUAUGUGUUUUACUUAAAAUAACUAUCGCAUACAACAAACAAAAGGUGUAAAUAUUUUUUCACAAAAGUUACAAGAACUCAACUUGAAGUUUGAAGAAAGAAAAUCUCGAAAGUUGUGGUACACAUAGUUUACGAAAAUACAACAUAAUGAACGGGGACACCAGAAAAAGAAAUAGUAGUUUCAGAAAAUUAUUUCCAAUAUUUUUCUCGCAUAAAUCUAGAGAUAAAAACGGUAACAAGGAUCCCAUGCGAGUCAAGGAUUCGAGUGAAAAUAAUUCUUCCAAUAGUAAUACUUAUCAAAAUCCUCAAGAAGUUAUCACGAAUACUGCGACGCGAAUGGAUAAUGAUGAUAACAAUGAUCGUAUAUAUGAAGAUCUUUCAGUAUCGCGUAAACAACAAUCGUUUGAUAGCGAAUCGCAGUGUAAUGACGUGCUUACCAAUCAUUCAUCGAGUAGUACUUUAGUAUCAGAUAGUGCGAGAAAUAGAACAUGUUUAAAUUAUAGUUCUGACAGUGGAAAUACAAAAGAGAAGUAUUCGCAUCACGUGGCUAGACCUCAAGUGCCGCCAAAACCGUCUAGUGAAGCACACACAUCACCGAACAGUAAAAAUAACAUGAACGACAUGCAACAAUUUCCAGAUGUAUAUUACCACUCUUUAGAAAAGCUAUCUGAUAAAAUAUCACCUUUAGAUGAAUUUGAGAUAUACAGAGCCUCAAAAGCGCAUGCCGAUCCUGCGCCAGUUGGUGCCGAAAUAAAGAAAGUGAGUACCAAAUUUCUUAUUUCACCGACGAAAGAAGCAGAAGUGCGAACAAUACAGCCAACACGAGCGAGAAGUUUGUCCUUAGAUAAAGAUAAUAGCAAACCCAGAGUUGCCAAAACACCAACAGAAAAUGAUAUUGCCAAGGAUGUAAAAAUUAGGAAAUCAUAUAAUUAUUCUGCCCCAACUUCACCUAUACCUAUAAAUCACAGAACUCCAAGCAUGCCAAAAACCGUAUCGCCAUAUGAACAAGUAAAGAAAACUAUGACAGAAGCAGAAGAAAAGAGAAAUUCUUUGAGUCGUAUAUGUCUUCGGAAUAACUUAAGUCCUUCUCCGAAGCCUACAGGUUUUCACCAAAUAGUAACGACACCGACUUCUACAACGAACAUUACCGAUGCAUCGAAAUUGGAAGUUGUUGAAAAAGAAAAGACAAGAAAGCGAGUGGAAGCAUUUUACUGGCAGAAACUAAAAGAACAGAAACAAAAAGAAGAUGAUUACUUAAUGAGGCAGUCUUUACAGUAUUCUUCCAUGAGAAACCCUGUGCGUCGACAUAUUUAUUCAAAUUCAACAUGUAGUUCACCAAAUUCGUUGUCCGUUGAGACGAAAAGUUGCAGCUUGCCUCGAGGAAGAGAUUUGGAGAGUUAUUGUUCCAAUCAGCCAAUUCAGACCUUAUCUCCUUUCAACAGAGCCGCACCUGAGAGGCGUACUUAUGAAAGAGAUACUUCUUUUACACGAUCCCCUUCGAUCGACCAGGAAGUAAUUUAUAGACACCCUGAAAAAUUGAAUUAUAUAAAUAAGUUGCCCGAGAGUUCAGGUUCAAAAAUAGCUCCUAUUUUUCAAAAAGGAUCUUUAACACAGGUAUCGCAGAACUCUAAUCUCAAACCGAAACGAGUAAGUUUUGAAGAACAAUAUUUGUCAGUCAACGGUGAUUUUGUUAUGAAUUAUACUGGUGUCCCAAUAGUGAACUAUGAAGUGACGAGCGACAGUAAAUAUGCGACGAGGAAUGUAUUUUCGAAUGUUUCAUUGGGAUCAAGAGAACCCGGGUCUAGAGGCCCUCCUCGGCCUCCUCUUCGGACUACUAGUGUCGGAAAAAGUAUCGGAAUAUCGAAUAAAAAACUUCUUUUUCCCGGACAUUCGAUGUAUUCAGAGUCUGAGAGCGGUUCAGAGGCCGGGGAGAUACAAAGGAUUCUUCAGGGAGAUUCACGCAAAGAAGAAGACUGGCACGGAGACGGCUCUCGGAUCGAUGGAGGUCUAUCGGACGGUGAAGCUGGCCGAGGUCCGAAUCGGGGCCGCACCUCCAGAAGGGAUGACCCGCGACGACACACACUGGCGGGUAAUCACCUGUACAUGCACCCCCACCCUGGAGCGAUCAACUCGCUCGAAAUGGAGCUAUUCGGAAACCAGAGGAUUAUGAACGUACCGGAGUACGCAACUGUCACCAAAUACCGCGAUGGCAAGAUUCGAACCUUAGAUCCGCGAUUGAGUAAGCCACCCCUACCACGGGGCUAUCCGACACCAUCAAAUGCCAUGCUCUUCGAUGACGACCCUGGCAUCAUGUCGGAGGUCGAGACCGCUUCGACCGGGUUCCGAAGGGGUGGCAAGCAGCGAUCUUCGCUCCCCGUCGUCCGAACCCCGAGCAAGACUCUUGAGAGACCAUUGGGCUUGGUAUUCUUGCAAUACCGUAACGAAACCAAGCGGGCAUUGCUGCCCAAUGAGAUAACUUCCAUUGACACUGUCAAGGCUCUCUUCGUGCGAAGCUUCCCCAAGCAGCUGACUAUGCAGUACAUGGAUAGUCCGCUUGUGAAGAUCUACAUCCACGACUCUUCUAAGGACAUGUUCUACGAGCUGGAAGAUGACAGGGCCCAUCUUCGCGACAUUCGUGACCGUUCGGUACUGCGUCUCUUUGAAGCAACCGACAUUGGUGGAGGGGCCUUCCCUGGUGUGGUCGGCGUGGGAUCCGUGGCCAUGCCUCCUGGUGCCGCCAACUGCUCUGGUCCAUCCAGCUGGGACCAGGAUCAGAGUUAUUUUAGCGAGCCAGAAAUAGAUUCCGACUAUCAUCAACACGUUCACAAGUCUAAGGUCAAGGCCCCAGCCUACUACAUGGGGACCCAGGCUCCCAGCACUCUGCCUCGUGGGGGCUCUAUUCUGCGUGCGUUCUCUCCCGCGGCGCCCCCGGUACCAGCUGAUCGCGUCAAGACUCUGCCGGGAGCAGGUCACAAUGCUGAUGGCUACAUGUCAUCCCCUGAGCGUGCCUCCAGGGCACCCUAUGAAGACCCGUAUUACACGCAGUUCCUGGCUCCAGUUGCUCCUCGCCCCAUUGCUGCAGCCAUAGACGAAGAAGUGAGUGAGCCUAUCAUUGUUGAAGAUGGUUACACUAUUUACGGCGGAAAUGCUCCGCGCCCUAUGCCUAGACUUCCAUACGACCCCAGGCUGCCCCAAGACGACAUGCAGCGUCUCCGUGUCGAGAAAAUGGAAAGGCAGCUUGCUAAUUUGACAGGGCUAGUGCAGAAAGCAUUACAAGUGCCCGCUCCUGCCGCGCCGCCCGCGGUCACACCCAGACAAGAGUUCAACUAUGCCGUCGCGAGACCGAACAACCAAGAGAAAUCUGUGUCGUUUGAGAAGUCGGUCUCAUUUUGCGAUGACCCACCCGACUUGAAUUCUCCCAAACAACACUCACCUCAACACUCAGCCGAUACCAAACCGACCAAACCGGCAAUCAAAUCAUCAACAUUGCCAAGGACUUCUUCGCAAGAACGCGAUCGCCUGAAGCCGGCUCCUCCACCAAAGCCGGCCGGUCUAGUGGGUCAACAGACGAUGGUGGCUCAAAGGACUUAUACCAUCACAGUUAAUACAGAUUUCUUCAACCAACUCCGCAUUCUGCAAAAGCAGAGCCGCGAUUUGAGGAUCGAGACUCGUAAUUUACGCCGCUCGACCUUGGCUCAUGCCAUCCAGAUGAGGCAGCUCAUGGCUGAGACCAUCGUAAAAAUCGGAGCCCUAGCUGCUAGUUUCUGCGAAGAAGACCCCGAAUCGCAACUUACUCGUGAAGAGGAAAUAUAUCGCCAAGACAUGCUCUUGCUUGAGAAUGAUCUUUAUGAGCUGGAGGCCACAGUGGAGCGCCUUCGCGGUCAAGCUGCCAACAGGGAGACCCGCGUGAACAUGGCUGAUAUAGAACGCAUUGCUAUGGUGCUUUCCAAGAGCAGCAAGACUGUGGCCGACUGGAAACUGAAGUUCCCCAUUCUCCAGGAGACCAUGAAACUGAAGCUGGCAUCUGAAAUGGAAAAGGUGGUUCGCAAAGAGAAGAUGCUAGAAGAGGAGCCAGAACGGCUGGAGCUGGCCUUGCGCCGUUGUAAGAAAUUAACCGGGACUUUGGUCACGCUGAAAAGGUUGGCCUGCGUGCAGGAGCAAAGACUGCCUAUUGUAGACGGUCGCACGUCUCCCACUUCGUCGCAGAGCUCGACAUUCACUGCGGGCCCUUCCUCGGAGGAGUUCACUUCUGAAAGUGCCUGCAACCAAGUGCAGGCCAAUAAGCGCGCUCUCGAUAACUGCCGCAGCUCACCUAGAUCUUCUGAAAUGAAUGACAUGCCUUAAACACUUCACUUCUGCUUCUUGGUACUUUACUUACACCUUCUUCAAAUUCCUCACCUCCGUGGUCGUUCGCGAGUUAACCUUCUUUCCUUAUCUCUACAACGAACGACGCUUCCACACGUUCUCGUUGGACUAUUACGAAUAUUAGUAAAGACUGCGGUACCUUUGGCCCCCAACCCAAUUGGCUGUAAAUUUAGAACCAAACCGUUAAUCCACGCACCGGAGCACAGAUUGCCGGCCAGAGCUAGACGUGACGGAAUGGUGCGCAGGGGGCCGGCUGCAACGGGCGAGCGGCCCGCGGACCAGCGGAGCUGCGGCCAGAGAACGCCCUCGACGCGCUACUAGACGAGCUGCAGACCU
rnacentral:misc_RNA from 1 species